GGGCCGUUGGAGCGAGCUGGCAGCUCACCUGGUUCUCAGCCAGGAGGUUACGGGUUCGAGCCCCGUACGGCCUA
rnacentral:tRNA from 1 species